UAAUACGGAGGGUGCAAGCGUUAUCCGGAUUUAUUGGGUUUAAAGGGUCCGUAGGCGGAUCAUUAAGUCAGUGGUGAAAGCCGACAGCUCAACUGUCGAACUGCCAUUGAUACUGGUGAUCUUGAGUACGGUUGAAGUAGGCGGAAUAUGACAUGUAGCGGUGAAAUGCUUAGAUAUGUCAUAGAACACCGAUUGCGAAGGCAGCCUACUAAGCCGUUACUGACGCUGAGGGACGAAAGUGUGGGGAGCGAACAGGAUUAGAUACCCUGGUAGUCCACACCGUAAACGAUGAUUACUCGGUAUUGGCUUUAUUGUCAGUGCCCAAGCGAAAGUGAUAAGUAAUCCACCUGGGGAGUACGGCCGCAAGGUUG
rnacentral:rRNA from 1 species